UUAGGUUUAAUUAGCCAAUUUUAUUAUGAUAAAUUGGCUAAUUAAACAUAAAGGGAAUAAAUGGAUGGUUAUAAAAAUGAAUGACUAUUUUAAUAAGGAAAAUGGGAAAGAUGAGGAUGUGAAAAGUGGGGGGCCGGUUUUGGCUAUUAAUUGGGUGAUUUAAUUGACUAUUAAGGAUGAUUUUAGGAGAUAUGGUAGACGUAUAUUAUUUAGCUAAUUGAUUAGCUAAAUAAUGAAAUAGAAAAUACUAGGUCUUGGGAAAUACCUUAUAGAAAGGAUUUUGAUGAAAGAGGUUUUUAAUUGUUACCUUUUUUGGGUACUUUUGACUUGAUUGAAAGAUGAUUGUCCACUGCUCGCGCGUAGGAAUCCUUGUAUGCCUCGAGGGUAUUUUUGUCAUCUUUUGUCCAAAAGUCCACGUGUCGCCUAGUGAAUAUAUUUGGCUCCACAAAUGCCCCCACACCUGUUGAGCUGCUUGCAGAAAAGGGCAAUAGGUGUAGAGAUUUUCUUGCUUUAGGAAACUUAAGACUGCUUCCUAUUUUGAUGUUGAUUCUCUCUUUAAAUGGAAAUUAGAUACUUCUAGGAAAAAAAAAAAAUUUCUCUCAAAGCCUAUUUAAGUCCACCUUAAGUGGGUUAUUAAAUCAACUUUGGAGAGCGAUUUAUUCUACCCUACAAGAGAGAGAUAGCUUAGAGGAUAUUUGUUCCCCCUCCUCUAGCAAUCUUCUACAUCUUGCCCGUGCAAAGGACCGUCUUUCGUUGCUUUCUUCGUCUUCUUCGUGCCGCACCGAUGUAAGAAAACUUUAAUUUUUCUUGCCUUAUUCUUGGAUAGUGCUAUUGCGGGGUAGUCGUCGGGGUGGUGCGGCACAUCGUCUGGCAGGGGCCAAGAGCUGGCUCGGCAUGGGCUGAGGAGAUGUCGUGGCAGGGACCACUACUUGGGUAGCUUGGCUUGGCUUGAGCCAAGGGCAGCUUAUGCAGCUGGGGUCGAGGAUUGUGGCUCUAGGGCGCAUGGCUCAUGUCCUUUGGGCUCUUGGACCUGACUCAGGCCAGGCUGGCGAUUGAGAGAAAUAAGGAGAUUGCGGGUCUCAUGGGCUGCUGGAAUGUUGGGCAUGCAGGCCUCCUGCCUGCUGGAAUGCUGGGUUGAGCUCCCCUGCUGAGUACCAUGAGUGUCGUUGGCUGCUUAGUCCUCUUUGCUGAAAGAAAGGUGGGCUGCUCUGGAAAGAUGAGGUAAAGAGGAUCAAGGCGGAUGCAUUGGCUCGUCUGAUCGCUGUCGUGGAGCUUACUAUGAAUGAAGAUGGAAAGAAGAGAUCUUCCCCGCCUGCUCAUGAGAUGCCAGUUAAGAAAAAACUGAAGACUUCUUCUGCUGCUCAUGAGGGUCAGCUUGCUACCGAGAGGUAUGUGAUUGACAUGACUUCUUCCAAUGAGAAGAAAAAUAAGGCUGCUAGAUCUGAGCAUGUGGCGUCUUCCAUGUUGAGAAUGGCUAGUACAAUUGUGGAUAAGAUUGCUCAGCGUAAAGGUUUUAUCAUGCCCCCAGUGCCGAAGUCUGUACCAGGACGUUCUUUGGGAGCCAAGUCCGGUUCACCUUUGUAGAGACUUGCUAUUAUGAAGAGUGGUAAGGUGGACUCUGCUGCUAAAGUGGCGCCAAAGCCUGCUCCCUUUGCUGCUGAGAUUGAUUCGCCUCAGAUUCAAGAUCUUAAGCUUGCAAUUUCUGAGCUUCGUUUCGCUGCUUAUGCUAAGAAGGGAGUGGAUGAGCUGCAGCGCGUCCGUGUUAGUCUGCUUAAGAAGAAUGAGCAGCUGAAGGGUGAGAAGGAUAAGCUUGAGGUUUUAAGACAUUCUCUAUUUCUCCGGAAGACUUGCUUGCUUUUACUUUUAAGGCUUCCAUUGGUGAAGUAGUUGGAGAAGUUAGUGCCCAGAUUGGGGCAGCCGGGGGUGAAGCGCUGGAUGAUGCCGCUGCUAAGAGCGUUACGGCUGUUGAAGGUGUGGCGACCGAGUAGUCGUGGGAUGUCCAAGCUGCUGUAGUGUAGUAUUUUAGGUAGCCUUUAGGAUUUUCUUUGUUUUUCCUUGUAGCUCUUGUUUUGCUUGAACUCCUUCGGCCUUUGCUAGUUGUUUAUAAACAUGUUUUCCUUCGUUUUUCUUCAUCUUCACUUCUUUUGUUCAUGCCCUAACCUUUAGACUUGAUAGACCAGUGGCAGGCAUGCUACUUUUUUAUAAGCAGACAAACUCGCGUAGCCUAUGCAGCCGUAGGUGUUGGUGUAGAACUUUGCAAAGUUGUUAGCCAUAGGGUUGGCAGCCGGAUCCCUUACUUACAGAAGCAGACAAGUCCGCGUAACCACUAGGCUGUUAACCUUGACUUUCUUCAAUUCCGUAGGUUGCGUAGCAAGUAUCACAACACUUUAGGACUUGGUGUAGGUUGUUCCGUGCUUGGCAGAGGUGAAGCUUAUCGACUACGUAGCAUGUCGGCAGUGGAUAAAACUUCGUAUAUGUGCGCUAGCUUGUUUAACCUUUCACAAGAAUGUGCGGUUGUAUAAGUCUAGUGCGGCUUUACUGCUCGAAGGGCAAGGCGUAGGCAGUCUUCCGAAAUCCGUAGGCUACCUUAGUGCACUCGGUAGCAGCUUUAGGAUUCCAGGGCAGCCGUCCAUUGGAUGUACUGCGUAAUGUGCCCUCUCCGUCUCUAGGGCCCGGUUCCCCACGGAUUAGGCCAAGAGACCCAAAAUCCUUCAGUUAGCUAAGCCUUGAAAAAAACCAUUGCGGCUACUUCUAGGAAUCCCGGUGCAAGCCAUCGUGCAUCUAGUUAUACUAGGGCAGCCAGGCUCAUCCACGUCUGGAUAUUCGGAGUGUAAAGUUUAUCCUCCCGUCUUGGAGAGCUGACUCAUAUGGGUGUCGGAGAAUUGGUUUACCCUAUCGCACUGGAGAGCAUGGUUGGUCUCUCGGGGGGCGCAAUUCCUGCGAUGAGUCCCUAAGAAGGGCGCAGUCUUCUUUUGAAGUGCAGGAGUGAUUAGUUGUUGUAAGCAUGCAGCCAAGCCAAGUUGUGAUUACUUCUAAAUUCCUCAUUGAAAAACGAGUGAAACGAACGAGAACUUUAGCUGUAAGGUAAGAAUUGCAUAACAACUGGAUAGUCCUCAUCUUGUGAGGUGGUGCCCGUCAAGCUUAUUGAGUCUUCGGGUUUUGAUGAAGUGGGAGGUCACACAUGGUACUUCUUCAGAUUGUAGGCCAUCCAUUGCUUUUCAAUCUUUUUGCCGCUUCAUGGUGGCGAGGGUGUAAUUACUCUUGCCCCCUACUCUGCUGAUCUUGUACGGACCUUCCCAGAUGGGAUCCAUCUUUUUGGAGCCUUCUCUGCCAGCAGUGAUGAAGGCUUUUCUGCGCCGUCGACAUGCAAAUGCCAGAAGUCUCCAUCGGGUGGAGUAGGCGCAGCUAGAGUGUGGUCGGCUACUUCUGAGGCAUCGUUGGGCCGCUCUGUUGCGUCACAUAGGCUCGGCGUGAAGGCGCAGUAGGGAGCUGUGGAGAUGGGGCCAUGUCAUACGCAGCAAGAGAUGUUCAACUGCCGGUAUUGGGCCACUCUAGAGUUGAAUCAUUGAGCAAGGGUCGGCUAGGGCCGUGUGAUGCGCAGCAAGAAAUGGUACUCAACUGCCGGUACAUGUUGCUCCUAUGUAAAAUCUUUUAGGGUGAUGAGGACAAAACUUGCUUUCGAGUGUGUCCUUCCAGUGUUGCGUUCGUCAAAAAACUUUACAUCCGCCAGGGUCUACGCCUUUAUCGUUGCGCGUCUGGAUUGGGCAGAAUAGUACGUCAUGAGGAUGAUUGCAUGCAUUUGAAAGUAAAACUUGUGCUUCUGGGUUGCAACAACUAUCGCCAAAGUUAGCUUUUGAAUUUUUAAUAACAUCGAUGAGAGCUUUUGAACUGUAGAAUACAGGUAGUCGGGCCCCCAUCUCUUCUCGCAUGAUGGUAGAGCUUAUUGCUACUUUAGAUACUGUCAAACAUGUGAAUAAGUCCUCCGCUGCUUCUAGGGAGGUGAUGUCGGGUACUUCUUCAAGUCCUUGAAUGUGCAUUGGCGAGCCUCAUCCCAAAGUGCAUACUUCUCUGCCAAAGCAAAAGAGUCUGCCAUAGUUAGAUCUUCUUUCAUGAUCAAUUUUCUGAAUAGCGGGUGGUCUGCUGGAAGUCCUUUUUGGAAGGUUGCUCUAGCUAUCGAGUCGUUGCAUCCAACUAUUUUUGCCUUCUCUACUUUGAACCUCCUCACAUAGUCGCGAAGCGACUCCUUUGGGUUCUUCUUAACGUUAAACAAAUGAUCAGACUUCUUUUUGAUCGAGCGAUAGGAUGAAUAUUCUUUGGUAAAAACCAAAGAAAGUUCGUAGAAAUUCCGGAUGGAUUGUGGCGGCAGGGUGUAGAACCAAUCUUGCGCCUCGCCUUGUAGAGUGGUGGCGAAUAUCUUGCACAUGAGAUCAUCGUUGUUUCGAUAAAGGAUCAUUGCGCUUCGGUAGCGCUUUAAGUGUCUUUCUGGGUCUUCAUCCCCUUUGAAAGAUGUGAAAUGUGGCAUGCUGAACUCUCGUGGAGGCUCUGCCUGCUCGAUCUCGUCCGUGAAGGGUGACCUGCUUAUGUUGGUCAUGUUCCGUCGUAGUGCCUCUUCGGUGACCUCGUUGCGUUGGAAAUCAUGCAAUCGCUUGGUCAAAAGUUUCUCUACUUCUUCCUGAAUUUGCCUUUGUUGGGGUAGCGGAGCUCUCGGCUUCCCCCAGCCAUGACUUGCUGGUCUAGGCUGCUCUUCCAUGUGUUUGGCUCGUCUAUGCCGCAGAUGCAGUGCAUGUGGUGCGUUCCUAGCAGGCGAGCGAGUUCUUCGCAGGCUGCUGGUUGAACUUGAGCUGGAUUGAGUGACUGCUUCUCUCCGUCUAUCGUGCUGCCUACUCUGAUGUGAGGUGGAUGAUGCUCCUUGUGGGCUUAGCCGCGAAUGAACACUUUGUCCGGAAGGUUGCUCAGGUUGACUAUCGAAGCGUGACCCCAAUCGUGAAUGUAUGCUCAUCCGUGGGCCUAGUCGAGAGUACACGCUCCUCCGCGCGCUAAGACGGGAGUAUACGCUAUCUCGGGGGCCCAAUCGGGAAUGUACACUGCCUGAACGUUCGGCUCGUGGCUGGUCGAAUGGCUGCUUGCCGGGACGUUGCUGGAAAGGUUCAUCUGCCCUUGUCCUACUUCGGGAUACCUCGUCCGGGGCACGUUGGAUCCCGAUGCGUUGCAAAAGUUGAUUCACCAAAGUCGUCAGUUGUGCAAGGGCGCUCGUCAACUCUAUGACUUGUCGAGACAAGUGUUGUUCGCCAUUUGGAUUGGAAGAGCUUGGAAGGAAUACGCCUCAUUGGGCAGUGGAAAUGUGGUAGACUCUGGGCGUGAGAUUUGAAUUGGGAAAUGUCAAAUCCGUGAAAAAAUGUGGUGAGAAUGCCCCCGGCUCGAUGGUAGGUCCGAAUGGUUGAGAUAGUCUUGGGUCGACUUGGGCUGCUUGGAAAGCCACUGGAGCAGGAUGGGCCGUGAGAGUGGGCUGCUCGUCGGGAGCAGGCUGGGUCAUGAGAGCAGACUGCUCGGCAGGAGCAGGUUGGGCAGUGAGAGUGGGCUGCUCGACGAAAGCAGGCUGGACCAUGGGAGUGAGCUGCUCGUCGGGAGCAGGCUGGGUCACGAGAGCAGGCUGCUUGGCAGGAGCAGGCUGGGCCACAGGAGUGGGCUGCUCCACGGAAGCAGGCUGGACCACUGAAGUGGGCUGCUCGUCGGGAGCAGGCUGGGUCACGAGAGUAGGCUGCUUGGCAGGAGCAGGCUGGGCCACGGGAGUGGGCUGCUCGACGGAAGCAGGCUGGACCACAGGAGUGGGUUGCUUGGCAGGAGUAGGCUGGGCCACGGGAGUGGGCUGCUCGACGGAAACAGGCUGGACCACGGGAGUGGGCUACUCGACGAAAGCAGGCUAGACCACGGGAGUGGGCUGCUCAUCGGGAGCAGGCUAGGUCACGAGAACAGGCUGCUUGGCAGGAGCAGGCUGGGCCACAGGAGUGGGCUGCUCCACGGAAGCAGGCUGGACCACUGGAGUGGGUUGCUCGUCGGGAGCAGGCUGGGUCACGAGAGCAGGCUGCUUGGCAGGAGCAGGCUGGGCCACGGGAGUGGGCUGCUCGACGGAAGUAGGCUGGACUACAGGAGUGGGCUGCUUGGUAGGAGUAGGCUGGGCCACGGGUGUGGGCUGCUCGACGGAAGCAGGCUGGACCACGGGAGUGGGCUACUCGACGAAAGCAAGCUGGACCACGGGAGUGGGCUGCUCAUCGGGAGCAGGCUGGGUCACGAGAACAGGCUGCUUGGCAGGAGCAGGCUGGGCCACGAGAGUGGACUGCUCGACGGAAGCAGGCUGCUCAAUGCGCUGUGCAUGUGAAUGCGAGGCUUGGGCUUGGGUCCACGUAAACUUGGAUGGCACGGCUUGGGUCGUGGUCUUGGUACCGUAAGCCUUGGAUGGCACGGCUCGGGCCGUGGUGAAAGCUCCAUGGACCUCGCCACGAAUGGCUACCGAAGUAGCCACCGCGGUGGUUCCCAUGGUGGCCGUGGUGAAGGCACCAUGGACCUCGCCGUGGGUGGCUACCGAGGUAGCCACCGCGGUGGUUCCCAUGGUGGAAACUCGUGGUGGUGAUGCCGCUCCCCUUAUUGUCGCAUUUUGCCUCACGGAUCUCCGCACUCCCAUUUCUUGAACACUAGAAUUUUCACUUAUGAAAUUUUCUAAAUUUCUAGCCAUUAUAUUUUGCUUAUACGUUUUAUCAAAGAACCUUUGCAAGUAAAAAAUUCUAAUAAUAAGAACGUAUGAAAAAUAUUCAAAUGGACUAGAAAAUAAAGAAAAAACCUUUUUUGUGCGAGAGUCUUCUACGAGUAUGGAUUUUAACUCUCAAUGAAAGCACCAAUUUGUGGAUGCAAAUUUCUUCCUCCUCGAUCUUGGACGAUUUUGCACCUACAAAACAAUUAACACCUACAAAACAAUUAACACCUUAGGUUAAGGCCAAGAGCCUCAUGCGCCCACGAUGAAUGGGGGGGCUUUGACCGAAGAACCUCCGAUGCCAAAGUUAGAAUUUAGAGAGAAAUAGUGUUUAGAGAAUUUUGGGAUUUUUGCCAAAGUGUUGGAAUUAGCUUUUUGGUGAGAAUGAGAGUAUAUUUAUAGGGAUAGGAGGUGGCUAGGGUUUUUAGGUUUAAUUUAGGUUUAAUUAGCCAAUUUUAUUAUGAUAAAUUGGCUAAUUAAACAUAAAGGGAAUAAAUGGAUGGUUUUAAAAAUGAAUGACUAUUUUAAUAAGGAAAAUGGGAAAGAUGAGGAUGUGAAAAGUGGGGGGCCGGUUUUGGCUAUUAAUUGGGUGAUUUAAUUGACUAUUAAGGAUGAUUUUAGGAGAUAUGGUAGACAUAUAUUAUUUAGCUAAUUGAUUAGCUAAAUAAUGAAAUAGAAAAUACUAGGUCUUGGGAAAUACCUUAUAAAAAGGAUUUUGAUGAAAGAGGUUUUUAAUUGUUACCUUUUUUGGGUACUUUUGACUUGAUUGAAAGAUGAUUGCCCACUGCUCGCGCGUAGGAAUCCUUGUAUGCCUCG
rnacentral:lncRNA from 1 species